GAUGAACGCUGGCGGCGUGCCUAAUACAUGCAAGUCGAGCGAACGGACGAGAAGCUUGCUUCUCUGAUGUUAGCGGCGGACGGGUGAGUAACACGUGGAUAACCUACCUAUAAGACUGGGAUAACUUCGGGAAACCGUAGCUAAUACCGGAUAAUAUUUUGAACCGCAUGGUUCAAAAGUGAAAGACGGUCUUGCUGUCACUUAUAGAUGGAUCCGCGCUGCAUUAGCUAGUUGGUAAGGUAACGGCUUACCAAGGCAACGAUGCAUAGCCGACCUGAGAGGGUGAUCGGCCACACUGGAACUGAGACACGGUCCAGACUCCUACGGGAGGCAGCAGUAGGGAAUCUUCCGCAAUGGGCGAAAGCCUGACGGAGCAACGCCGCGUGAGUGAUGAAGGUCUUCGGAUCGUAAAACUCUGUUAUUAGGGAAGAACAUAUGUGUAAGUAACUGUGCACAUCUUGACGGUACCUAAUCAGAAAGCCACGGCUAACCACGUG
rnacentral:rRNA from 1 species